UACGAAGGGGGCUAGCGUUGUUCGGCAUUACUGGGCGUAAAGCGCACGCCGGCGGAUUUAUAAGUCAGGGGUGAAAUCCCGGGGCUCAACCUCGGAAUUGCCUUUGAUACUGUCUAUCUUGAGUCCGGGAGAGGUGAGUGGAAUUCCUAGUGUAGAGGUGAAAUUCGUAGAUAUUAGGAAGAACACCAGUGGCGAAGGCGGCUCACUGGCCCGGUACUGACGCUCAUGUGCGAAAGCGUGGGGAGCAAACAGG
rnacentral:rRNA from 1 species